UACGUAGGCAGCAAGCGUUGUUCGGAGUUACUGGGCGUAAAGGGUGCGUAGGCGGUCCUAUAAGUAUGGUGUGAAAUCUCCCGGCUUAACUGGGAGGGUGCGCUAUAGACUGUGGGACUAGAGUGUGGGAGAGGAAAGUGGAAUUCCUGGUGUCAGCGGUGAAAUGCGUAGAUAUCAGGAGGAACACCGGUGGUGUAAACGGCGCUUUCG
rnacentral:rRNA from 1 species